UAUGACGUCACUAGCUCAGUGAAAAGAGAGAGAGAAAAGAUCUGAAGAGAGUGGUUUUUGAGCUCUGCCAAUGGGACCGUCCUAGGCAGGAGAUUGGGGUGAAGAGGCAGCUUGCUGGUUUUCCCGACCCACUUCCUCCCUGCAAGAUUCCUUGCAUACGAUUAUCAGAGAAGAGCCAUCACAACCAAGGACUAUGAGCAGGAGCAUCUGAUAGUAAGCACGGCCAGGGACUGUGGAAAUGGGAGAGACACUUGGAUGGAAAAGCAGCUCAAGAUGGGAUGAGAAAGCAGACAAAGGAGGGAAGCGCUUCUGAACAGAGUGCCAGUCUAUGGGGCCCAAAGCUAAA
rnacentral:lncRNA from 1 species